rnacentral:lncRNA from 1 species
GCAUAUGCAUUUUUGAGAGCUUCCCAUACUGCAUGGGCUAUGUCUAAGCCAACAACGAGUCCGAGUGUUCCUUCAGAAAGUCUUCUAUUAAUUUUGGAACAAAAGUUUCUGUAACCGUGGUGUUGUUUGGAUUCGGUGUGGUGUAUUUGGUAGAGGCAGGAUCUUCAUUGGUGAGGUGACCAAUUAACUCUUGGCUUUCUGCAAAAGCCAAGGCU